AUCAUUUCUUGACCUUUUGACUGAGGUCAAGUGUUGUAUCUGUUUUUAUCAGUUUAAUAUCUGAUAGGUCCUCCAUCUGAGGAUAUUAAAUUUUUUGGAGCAGGGGAUGGACUAGGAGCUUGCUCUGUCCACUCUGUGCAUUGACCAGGUAUUGCAGUACUUCCAGGAAUAGUGCAUCCCUU